CGCACGGGUGAGUAACACGUAUCCAACCUGCCGUCUACUCUUGGCCAGCCUUCUGAAAGGAAGAUUAAUCCAGGAUGGCAUCAUGAGUUCACAUGUCCGCAUGAUUAAAGGUGUUUUCCGGUAGACGAUGGGGAUGCGUUCCAUUAGAUAGUAGGCGGGGUAACGGCCCACCUAGUCAACGAUGGAUAGGGGUUCUGAGAGGAAGGUCCCCCACAUUGGAACUGAGACACGGUCCAA
rnacentral:rRNA from 1 species